GUUGUAACUACAAUGUUAGCUGUAGGCCAGCCCUCUGGUCCUCCUUGUGGUUUAACUACAAUGUUAGCUGUAGGCCAGCCCUCUGGUCCUCCUGCUGUUAUAACUACAAUGUUAGCUGUAGGCCUGCCCUCUGGUCCUCCUGGUGGUUUAACUACAAUGUUAGCUGUAGGCCAGCCCUCUGGUCCUCCUGGUGGUUUAACUACAAUGUUAGCUCUAGGCCUGUCCUCGGGUCCUCCUGGUGGUUCAACUACAAUGCUAGCUGUAGGCCUGUCCUCUGGUCCUCCUGGUGGUUUAACUACAAUGUUAGCUGUAGGCCUGCCCUCUGGUCCUCCUGGUGGUUUAACUACAAUGUUAGCUGUAGGCCAGCCCUCUGGUCCUCCUGCUGUUAUAACUACAAUGUUAGCUGUAGGCCUGCCCUCUGGUCCUCCUGGUGGUUUAACUACAUUGUUAGCUGUAGGCCUGCCCUCUGGUCCUCCUGGUGGUUUAACUACAUUGUUAGCUGUAGGCCUGCCCUCUGGUCCUCCUGGUGGUUUAACUACAUUGUUAGCUGUAGGCCAGCCCUCUGGUCCUCCUGCUGUUAUAACUACAAUGUUAGCUGUAGGCCUGCCCUCUGGUCCUCCUGGGGGUUUAACUACAAUGUUAGCUGUAGGCCUGUCCUCUGGUCCUCCUGGUGGUUUAACUACAAUGUUAGCUGUAUGCCAACCCUCUGGUCCUCCUGGUGUUGUAACUACAAUGUUAGCUGUAGGCCUGUCCUCUGGUCCUCCUGGUGGUUUAACUACAAUGUUAGCUGUAGGCCAGCCCUCUGGUCCUCCUGGUGGUUUAACUACAAUGUUAGCUGUAGACCUGUCCUCUGGUCCUCCUGGUGGUUUAACUACAAUGUUAGCUGUAGGCCAGCCCUCUGGUCCUCCUUGUGGUUUAACUACAAUGUUAGCUGUAGGCCAGCCCUCUGGUCCUCCUGCUGUUAUAACUACAAUGUUAGCUGUAGGCCUGCCCUCUGGUCCUCCUGCUGUUAUAACUACAAUGUUAGCUGUAGGCCAGCCCUCUGGUCCUCCUUGUGGUUUAACUACAAUGUUAGCUGUAGGCCAGCCCUCUGGUCCUCCUGGUAGUUUAACUACAAUGUUAGCUGUAGGCCUGCCCUCUGGUCCUCCUGGUGGUUUAACUACAAUGUUAGCUGUAGGCCAGCCCUAUGGUCCUCCUGGUGGUUAUAACUACAAUGUUAGCUGUAGGCCAGCCCUCUGGUCCUCCUGCUGUUAUAACUACAAUGUUAGCUGUAGGCCUGCCCUCUGGUCCUCCUGCUGUUAUAACUACAAUGUUAGCUGUAGGCCUGCCCUCUGGUCCUCCUGCUGUUAUAACUACAAUGUUAGCUGUAG
rnacentral:lncRNA from 1 species